GGCUCCGGGCGGGGGUCGGACCCCAAAUCCAGGCCACAGGCCGCCGCCCGGUCUUCUUCUUUACCCGAAGGGCGGCCGCGGCGGAUGGGAAGCCGUGCACGACGAGCACAAUCUCCAUGGGGAGGAGAACAGGAAUGUUCCUGUGAGCCCCGCCGCGCCCUACCGCCAGCGCAGCCCAGCAUCGCGGGUCCCCUCCUAUCCCACCGGAGAACGGGGUCCUCACUCCCAGCUUCAGCCGAGCCCUGGCCCCGCAACUGCCUGAAGGCACGCCCCCUGCACCUGCCCACCUCAGGUCCCGCCUCCAGCCCAGUGGCCAAGAUCACGGGUCUCUACAAUGACUCGGAGCCACCCCGGAAGACCAUGCACAGAGGGGUGCUGAUGACCCUGCUGCAGCAGUCGGCCAUGACCCUGCCCCUGUGGAUUGGGAAGCCUGGUGACAAGCCCCCACCCCUCUGUGGGGCCAUCCCUGCCUCAGGAGACUAUGUGGCCAGACCUGGAGACAAGCCCCAGGAGGACUACUCUAUCCUGUUUGAAGACACCUCCUAUGCAGACGGCUACUCCCCUCAUCUCAGUGUGGCCCAGAGGUACCUGGUAGCUUCUAAGGAGCCCAAGAAAAAGUGACACUGCCCGGCGGACUCGAUGUCCUCCACCAUCUUGGGGCAGGACAGCAGAGGAUGUGCUUGGAUUAAACAGACAUCCCCCCUCCACACAUCUCCUGGGUUUUACUUCUCCAAACCCUUCUCCCCUCCCCAGAUAUGGUGACCUGGGGAGCUGAAGGCUGAGGGAGAGGUGACCAUAUGUGGCCCCACUGGGCAUUCACUCUUUCAGCUCAGAGUUUCUCUUCCUUUCCAAUACAGGCUCUACAUGAACACAAAUCAUAUUUUAUUUUAAUUGAGCUUUAUUUUCUUUGGAGGGAGGGUCUUGCUUGUCAUCCAGGCUGUAGUGAAUGGGCAUGUCAUAA
rnacentral:lncRNA from 1 species